rnacentral:rRNA from 1 species
AAUAGAUACCCGGGUAGUCCACGCCGUAAACGAUGGAUACUAGCUGUUGGAGGUAUCGACCCCUUCAGUAGCGAAGCUAACGCGUUAAGUAUCCCGCCUGUGGAGUACGGUCGCAAGACUAAAACAUAAAGGAAUUGACGGGGACCCGCACAAGCGGUGGAUUAUGUUCUUUAAUUCGAUGCUAAACGAAGAACCUUACCAGGGUUUGACAUCCUUGGAAUUACUGCGAAAGCAGUGAGUGCUUUAUUGAACCAAGUGACAGAUGAUGCAUGGCCGUCGUCAGCUCGUGUCGUGAGAUGUUUGGUUAAGUCCAUCAACGAGCGCAACCCUUGUGAUUAGUUGUAUUUUUCUAAUCAGACUGCCCGGGUAACGGGAGGAAGGAGGGGAUGAUGUCAGGUCAGUAUUUCUCUUACAUCCUGGGCUAGAAACGUAAUACAAUGGCAAGUACAAUGCGCAGCGAAGCCGCGAGGUGAAGCAAAUCGCACCAAAGCUUGUCCCAGUUCGGAUAAGAGGCUGAAACUCGCCUCUUUG